GAGGAAUAUUGGUCAAUGGGCGAGAGCCUGAACCAGCCAAGUAGCGUGAAGGAUGACUGCCCUAUGGGUUGUAAACUUCUUUUAUACGGGAAUAACAUCAUCCACGUGUGGGUGUCUGCAUGUACCGUAUGAAUAAGCAUCGGCUAACUCCGUGCCAGCAGCCGCGGUAAUACGGAGGAUGCGAGCGUUAUCCGGAUUUAUUGGGUUUAAAGGGAGCGUAGACGGGUCCUUAAGUCAGUUGUGAAAGUUUGCGGCUCAACCGUAAAAUUGCAGUUGAUACUGGGGACCUUGAGUGCGGUAGAGGCAGGCGGAAUUCGUGGUGUAGCGGUGAAAUGCUUAGAUAUCACGAAGAACUCCGAUUGCGAAGGCAGCUUGCUGGACCGUAACUGACGUUGAUGCUCGAAAGUGCGGGUAUCAAACAGGAUUAGAUACCCUGGUAGUCCGCACAGUAAACGAUGAAUACUCGCUGUUGGCGAUAUACUGCCAGCGGCCAGCGAAAGCGUUAGGUAUU
rnacentral:rRNA from 1 species